rnacentral:rRNA from 1 species
GACAGAGGGGGCAAGCGUUGCUCGGAAUUACUGGGCGUAAAGGGCGCGUAGGCGGGAUGGCAAGUCGGUCGUGAAAUCCCUCGGCUCAACCGAGGAACGUCGAUCGAUACUGCUGUUCUUGAGGAUUGCAGAGGAGACUGGAAUUCCCGGUGUAGCGGUGAAAUGUGUAGAGAUCGGGAGGAAGACCGGUGGCGAAGGCGGGUCUCUGGGCAAUUCCUGACGCUGAGGCGCGAAAGCGUGGGGAGCAAACAGG